rfam:Arthrobacter sp. TCD-GKA scaffold_3, whole genome shotgun sequence.
CGGCUCGGCCUUAAGGGUCGUGGCUGAUGGGGCAGAAGUCAGCAGACGCCAUAGUACCCACCGGGAUCUUGUAGGUGGUGGGGAAGGGC